UAGGGAAUUUUCCACAAUGGGCGAAAGCCUGAUGGAGCAACACCGCGUGCAGGAUGAAGGCCUUCGGGUUGUAAACUGCUUUUAUCUGUGACGAUUAUGACGGUAGCAGAUGAAUAAGGAUCGGCUAACUCCGUGCCAGCAGCCGCGGUCAUACGGAGGAUCCAAGCGUUAUCCGGAAUUACUGGGCGUAAAGAGUUGCGUAGGCGGCAUAGUAAGCAGGUAGUGAAAUGAUGAGGCUCAACCUCAUGUCCAUUACUUGAACUGCUAAGCUAGAGUGUGAGAGAGGUACCUGGAAUUUCUAGUGUAGGAGUGAAAUCCGUAGAUAUUAGAAGGAACACCGAUGGCGUAGGCAGGGUACUGGCUCAUUACUGACGCUCAGGCACGAAAGCGUGGGGAGCGA
rnacentral:rRNA from 1 species